UUGUCAAAUAAAAAUGCACUUUUUACCAAAACACACAUUUAGCGCACUUAAAAGUGCGUUAAUUGUGUGUUUUUUGUUAAUAUGUGCGUUUUCAGUGAUCAAAAGUGCAUUUAAGUGCGCUUUUUGUGCGUUUUUGCUUUUCAAGUGCGUUAUUUUAGUGAAAAAGUGCGUUUUUUGUGUGUUUUCUUCAUCUGUAAGUGCGCUUUUGAGUGUAGAUGUGAGCAAAAUGUGUGUUUUUUAUCUAAGAAGUGCGUCUUUUAUUUAGGAAGUGCGUUUUUUGUGUGUUUUCUUCAUCUGUAAGUGCGCUUUUGAGUGUAGAUGUGAGCAAAAUGUGUGUUUUUUAUCUAAGAAGUGCGUCUUUUAUUUAGGAAGUGCGUCUUUUAUCUAAGAAGUGUGUUUUAAGGUUUACAGAUGUGGGUUUUUUCUCACAAAAGUGCGUUUUUCUAUUUUGAUGUGCGUCUUUUUUAAGCAUAAGUUAGUCUUUUAUUUCAUAAGUGCGUUUUUAUCAUAUGAUCUGUUUUAAAAGAAUGUAUCUAAAAAGACACAUGUUUAACACACUUCUUAAAAAGUGCGUCUUUAACAACCGUUUAGCAAAUGUUGUACAGAAAUUGAACAAGAAACAAAAUUGUUGCAGGCUCUAACAAUUUAUUUACAUCAAAUGAUUAAACAUAGACAUAUAUCUCAGUAACCUGUAAUAAUAUAAGGGGCAGUUUGAAUAAUUACUGGUUGUCCAUAUUAACCUGAUUAAUGUUUACAUACUUUAUCAUACAAUUUCAAUGCAUACCCUAUUGCUUACGUUUUAAUCUCAAACAUUUCUAAAAAUUUCCACCUAAAUCAGACUGUGUGUAACUAAUUAAAAAUAUUGAAAGUGUCAAAAGUAUUAUGUGGGCUUGAUAGUAUCAAUUAUAUUUCUUCAACAUAAAUAAGUAUUUGAACUUUCUUAUACUGAUAUUUAUACCCUAAUACAAUUAAUGUCUACCACAUUGACCAUAAACAUACAUUUUAAAAGGCAAUUAAAAUAAUAUGUAUACUAUUAAUAUUAUUUGCUAAAACCAUUCAGCAUGUUAUAUUUAAAUAUUUACAAUUAAAUAUAAUGUGUUAAGGGUGCUGUGUAUUAUUCAAUAAAUAUUUUGGUGUUGAAAUGACUGCCUUAUCAGUAUUUCUCAAAUUAUGCAAUUUUUGGCUUAGACACAGCAUGGUAUCAGAUAAGAGAAUAGCCAGUCCCUAUCAGUCCUCCAUCUUAGCCUAACUAAGGGGUGUUGAUAUACUUUUGAUUUGUUCAGGCACCAUCUAUUUGAGAACCACAGAUAGGAAGUUAUUUUUUGAAAACAAGCAGCAUCAGCAACUGACUUUAAGCUAGAAUUAAGACUUAUUAUUUUAGUGUAAAAUGUCUUGAAAUACUUUCAGCAUGAAGUAUUGUGUGAUGAAAAAAAUGUGUAUUUACUACAAUGUGUAAAUCAACAAUAAGUUUGUUGCAAAGGAGAUUAAAAGUGGGUGGUUAAAGACAUAAAAAGUGAUAUGGUCUAGUUCAACAACUGCCUGUAUUUUUGGAAUACUGAAGAACAGUCUGUUGUAACAGGUUCGUAUUUUCAAUUCUGCAUCCCUUUUUUAUUUAGUUUAUUGAAUUAAUAAUGAUCAUUAUCAUAUUUAUGUAUUGUCACUGGGAAAUGUAAAUGGAUGAGUAAAUGUAAUGCAAUUUUAAAGAAAAACAACACCAUUUGAAUUAUUAUGGCUGUAUUUUAUGGUUAUUGUCAUCUUAAAGUUAUUUAUACCUAUUUUUGGUCAUUAAUGAACAGAUUUUCCCCCAUAUUAAAUGAGAACUUUUAAAUUUAUAGGUUAAGCCCCAUGGAAAGAAUGUGCAUCAUCGCAUCGCCUGCCAAAAAAGGGAGCAAAAAAGAGACUACCUGAUGUAUGGACUUGAAUACCAGGUUUUACCCUGCACAAGCUGGCCGACAUGAGGAGAACAGGAGUGGGAAAACCGCGCCCUCUCCUUGACCAAGAAAAGCUGGAUUUGUUUAGAGGACCUGAUCAAAUGAGAUCAUGCACGAGACGCAUCGCGCAAAGGCCAUGACAGUAUAAUUGUUGCAAAGAAGUUUGACCGGCUAGUGGCAGACUUGGAGAGAAAGAUGAGAGCUGCACUCCGCUGCCUCAAAGAAAUGCUGAAAGGCCUUGAUUGAUAUGCAUCUUUCUUAUGUAUAUAGCUGUUCGUGUGUAUAUACUGUACAUGUUAUUAUAGUAUGCUAUUAUUUUUUGUUUAUUUAUAAUCAAAUUAUGUUUAUAUUUAUUUCAUCAAAUUGCCAUUGAUAUUUAAUUACUCAUGUAUGUUAAAAAAUGUUGGUGUACAUUAAAGUAUAAAAUUGAA